AAGCUUAUGGUGUAAUUGGAUAACACUCUAGAAUACGACUCUAGGAAUAUGGGUUCGAAUCCUAUUAGGCUUA
rnacentral:tRNA from 1 species